rnacentral:rRNA from 1 species
UACGUAGGGGGCAAGCGUUGUCCGGAAUCAUUGGGCGUAAAGCGCGCGUAGGCGGCCCGGUAAGUCCGCUGUAAAAGUCAAAGGCUCAACCUUUGAAUGCCGGUGGAUACUGUCGGGCUAGAGUCCGGAAGAGGCGAGUGGAAUUCCUGGUGUAGCGGUGGAAUGCGCAGAUAUCAGGAAGAACACCCGUGGCGAAGGCGGCUCUCUGGGACGGUACUGACGCUGAGACGCGAAAGCGUGGGGAGCGAACAGG